rnacentral:rRNA from 1 species
UACGGGGGGGGCAAGCGUUGUUCGGAAUUACUGGGCGUAAAGGGCUCGUAGGCGGCCAACUAAGUCGGACGUGAAAUCCCCAGGCUUAACUUGGGAACUGCGUCCGAUACUGGAUGGCUUGAAUCCGGGAGAGGGAUGCGGAAUUCCAGGUGUAGCGGUGAAAUGCGUAGAUAUCUGGAGGAACACCGGUGGCGAAGGUGGCAUCCUGGACCGGUAUUGACGCUGAGUGAGCGAAAGCCAGGGGAGCAAACGGG